GAACAUGGAACAAUGUUGUCCAUCAUGUAGUCAGAUCCUCAAGCAGCGUAAAUUGAUAGCGUAGACUACGCAGCUAUACUUAGCUUUUAUCAUUUGGUGAAAUGCAUACAUGGCUGCUUAUUAUCAGCUUAUAUUUAAGGGUAGAAUUCCAAGAACUGGUGUUCUCCAUCCAAGAGAAUGAUCCAGUAAAACAACUGUGUUCAUCAAGAAUAAAAGAGCUGUUGGUAACAAGGGAAAGUAAUUGUAAAAUGGGAAGAAAGCUCUCUCUGAAGCUAACCUUUAGCUCCUUAAAAUAAGAAAUGAAAAUGAUAAUAAAUGUUAUCAUAUUCAAGGUUCAAUGCAAAACCAAUCUUUUCCCCAGUUGUCUUUCUCUUUUAUUACAAUAAAAGAGAAGGAACAAAGCAGAGAAUGAAAAAAUGUUGCUGAAUCAUCAUAAUUAUUGUAAGAGAUUCAUAUUCCUUGGAGUAAAUACCUAGCUUGAUAGUCACCCCCUUGAAACUUAGUAUUUCUGAUUGAACUUCUCUCCCAUUGUGAAAAGAAGGAAACUCAAUGUUUUCCAGUCAAUAUCCUUCUCAUAAGUAGAACCUGCAGUUCAAUAACCUGGGAACCCAUAGUGGGAAAUUGGAAGUAUUUGGGACAGAGUUAAGGACACCAUUACCACAAUUAAUCCUUAAUACUUUAAAAGGAUGCAAAAGACCAAAACCAGAAUGAGACCAAAAGGAUCUUAAUAAUACUUUGAGAAUUAUUGUUUCCAGCAGGGUUCUGGAAACACUGAAAAAUCCAGGAAAGCAUCAACACACUGCAUUUCCAUUAGUAUUUGCAGGGAUACAGCUACACCCAAAAAGGUAGAGACAGGGGGAAAAGGGGUUGAAAAACAGUUGAAGGAAAAGGUCUCAGCUUCUAGAAGUAAUAAACCAGGACACGGUGCUCAGGGCAAGUUCCUGAUGACCAGCCUCUCUUCCAGGAUGGACAGAUUUUUCAUCCAAGCCCCUGCGGAAAGUGCUGUAAAGGUAACCUGUCCACCUUCUCCCCAGGUGUGGGACAAUGGUAUAUGAAAGAUUUUAGGAAAAGAUCAACAUAAUACUGGGAAUAUUUGCUGGGUUCCCCUUUUGUUUCCAUCUGGCUUCACUUCACUUUUGUUUUCCCUAAUUGUCUCCUGUGGCAGACAUGAACAAAAAUGCACAAUGUGGGCUUCUUGCUGAAUAUUAUUUAAGGAACAAAGCAGCUACAAAUUAUGAAGGGCAGUGUUAAGGGUAAUUACCCUGCCAGCAUGCUGAGGAUACAGGGCCCACACAGCCAGUUGCUGCAUCAGCCAUAUGAUGGCAAAACUGGCUACAAUCCCGUAAGUUUCCUUCCUUUCUUGGACAGAUGGGAGCUUUUGAACUGCUUGGGGGGCAGUGAAGCAUCCCAGCUUAGUCUUGCACCAUUACAAAUUGUGUAGGAAAGACUAUUUGUUGGAAGGAAGCUUUACAGUUUAGAGGGUGAUGUUAAAUGAGGAAGAAAACAAAAAGUCAAGGAGAUGUGCACGUAAUGUACUACUGAGAAAAUCAGAGAAAUGAGUGCAGGAUGAACAUGAAGUAAUCACUCUGAAUCACAGAAUAAAAUAAGCAUAGAAAUAUGGGCAAAGGAUCGACCGCUCCUGUAUGUACUACACCCUGUGGAAGUUUUGCUAUAGAUUUUUACAUCUGCACAUUCACGACCUCCAUCGGCAUAAUAGCAGGACAUCCAUUUAAAGCUACUGUGCUACUGCAUAUAAAAUUCUGAAAUAGAGACUGUAACCUCAGCACAACCACUGAUUUCUGAUCACAGGUCACUGCUUCUACCCAGGACACUUAAGACUGUGGCCCAGGCUAUCAAUCCCCUGCUUUAACCAUUAGAUCACGCAUGCUGGCAAAGCUCCCAGCAAAGGGAGCAGGUCAGUAUCUGAUUUUUGCUGGCCUCUCUUGGAAAAGCUAUGGGAGGUUGCUUCAGAUUAAUUCUGUUCCUUGCAGCUCUCAGUUAAACAGGCUGACGCUGGGUCUGCUGCGAAGAGGCGGGGGGAAAGAGGCUUUUGUAGUAUAACAAUGCUGUGUGCCGAUGUGCAGUGGGCAAUUAUGUAACCAACGCUAAAUCUUUCUAUAAUUAGAACAAGCACCUAGUUAGAGUGAUCAGAGCUCUUUUGUGUGAGCCUGCAUGGGGUACGAAAAAAAGAGCUUGGCUAAAAAGAAAGAUGCUGGCUUGAUUUCCCUUUCCCUUUCAACUGAUGAAUAAAUUAAAUCUCAGAUUACCCCAAAUUGCUGUGAAAGACGAAAAGCAAAAAGCGUUUCCUUUUCAUUCUUGUUGAAGACUUUUGCACCCUAGGUGUGAAUCUCAUGAAAUGCAGAAACAAACCCAAAGUCUCAGGCCUCUCUGUCCCAAGCACAGGAGCAGGAGGAGCAGCCAGACAGACGGAACAGAGGACAGGUCAGCAGGAGCCUUCUCUACUGAAAAUCAACCUCUUUUUUGGAUUUGCUUUGGUGAAGAAUAUGAUAAGAUACCUGGAAGGUCUCAUUUAUACCAGACAUUCCUCAGGUACAGGAGGAGACACGGGAAAAGAGAUCGAAACAGUCCCAGAAAGGUGAUCCCACAAUUCUGUGGACUCAGAGAACCAGCUUAACGCGGAGACAUGAAAAGCUAUAAUUAUUCCUUCUGAAUGCUGCCUGUAACCCCUAAAGGAGUGUGAAGUGCAGGGGCUGCUGAUGUGGCUGAACUUUUCCAUCUAGCAUUGUUUUAGAAACUUCAAUGCCCCAACAACACAGAGUCCUUCUAGAGUUCACCAUGCCCCUGCUUCUACAUCCAUGGGCUGCACGAGGCUUUUUGUGACUUCAUAGCACCAGGAAUUCAUGCUAAGCUGCUUCUCUGUCAUAACCCUUGUGGAUCCUUUUCAGAGUCACUGUUUCCCAGGACAGCCUGUAUUUAACCCCCCAUUUCUUACUUCCAGAUAAGAAUUUUGCAUGAUGUGGUAUUAAAACUCACCUUGCUUAAAUGGAUUCUACUUACCAAGUAAUCUAGCUCACCCUGUAUGACUCUCCUCUCGGUAUUACUGACCAUUUUGCCAUUCAUUUUGAAACUAACAUAUUUAAUAUUGAUUGCAGGCUGAUGAAAAUGGUGACAAGUCUAAGUCCAAGUGUCCCUUCUGCUGUAAUUUCCUUAGAAACACCUUUAUGCAGCACUGAUCCACCACUGAUCAUUCCUUUGUUUUUUGAAAUGCCAGCCAGUUCUCCACGCAGGAAGCAUACAUCUUCAGGUGCUGCACCGUGCUAAUUCUUUAAUCACAGAAUCAUAGUAUCACAGAAUAGUUAGGGUUGGAAAGGACCUUAAGAUCAUCUAGUUCCAACCCCCCUGCCGUGGGCAGGGACAAUCAAAACCUCAUGAGAAGCAGAAGACAGAAGCAGUGAGAAGUGUACCAGGUCAGCUUCAAGGAUAACUAUGUGAAUUAUUUAUUUGCACUGGUGGCUAAACUAAUACAAAAAAUAAAUUGUUUUCUCAUUUCAAGAAGAAAAUGUAAAAAAAAACCAAAAAAACCAACCAAACAAAAACCAAAGCAAAAACCCCAACAAAAACCAAACAAACAAAAAAACCAACCAACCAACAAAAAAACAAACCACCAAACAUUUUUGACCAGCCAAACCUUUUAUGUAAGCAUUUUCUAGGUUUGGUAUGUGACAGCUAAUGCAGAGCAGGGACAAGAAGUUAUUCACAGCUGGGUUAGAAGCACGUGGAUAAAAUAACGACUCACAGAGCAAUAUGCUCACAAAGCCAUAUGGUUUUGAAUAAGCUUGUACAGCCGCUUUGUACUAUAUGGUCCACUCUGUCCAGUGCUAAGAGCCUUACCUAUUCACAAACUCAAAAUUAGCCAUUCUGACACCAAAAUUAAACCACAGAAAACGGUUCAAGGGGAAGAAAAUAAAGUAUUAAAAAGAACCACUGUUGUCUUAUAGCCAGACAGCCAUAAACAUCUGCAAGCACGAACAGCUCAUUGUCUAUAAAGAGAAAGCAACUGCACACUUCUCAAAAGAGGCCAGGAAACUGAGGAAACCAAAGGAGCAUCUCCCUAGUGCAGGAGCUGAAGCAGAUUGCUCAUCUACAAUGUUACCUUCUAAACAACAAUUGUGUAUUGUGGCUGUCAUAGAAACUGGGUCGCAAAAUAGCUCCAAAAGAUGUAUAUUUGACAUACACCAUUAAAUAAUGCAUCACAGCAAAGAAAGAAGGAGAAGUAGGAGGGAGAAUGAAGUAGGAAAGAAUGUCAAAGUAGGAAGGAGAAAGAUUUUUUUUUAGCUGAGACUCGUCUAACAGCUGGAGAGAGAGACACUGGCAACUUCCAAUGGUGAUAGGAGGCUCCUGAAUUAGGAGGCAAUAUUGCCAGAUGUGACAACAGCAAUUCUGUUGCUAAAUGACUGGCAGAAAUGGGUAGGAGAGAUGACAGAUGAGUUUUGCUCAGAAAAAUUAUUGAUAAACGAUAUAUGUCAAAGUCCUGUAUCUUUAGCUUUGUCUGAAGUGCUCAUAAGAGGCCAGCUGUCUCGCAGAGACAGGGAUAUAUCUGUCAUUCACAGAAAUGAUGACAGAGCUGCUGUCACCACAAUGCAAAGCCAAAGUCUGAUUCUCACUGGAGAUGACAAGAAUUUUGGCAGAGAAAGACUGCAACAGGACUGUCCUUACUUUACUCCAAAUCUCUCACAUCCUAGAAAUUGUAGCAGAUGAACUAGUCUGCCCUGCAGAUUAUAAGAUGGCAAGUCAGGCAAAAUGGCUAGAAGACUGCAAGACAGACAUUUAGUCUGCCUUCUGGUCUUCCUGCCUCUUACGGUAUGAUUUUUUUGUUUCUAAUAGACUCUGUUUCUUAAUCAAUCUACCCUUUUCCCCUCUGGCCAGCUUCUGUUUCUCUUCUAGAUGAACCAUACCUAGCACAAUGGAACUCUUCACCCUUUGAUUCAGUAGAGAGCAGUUACUAAUUAAUAACUGAAUUUCUUUGAUUUUGUAUGGUACCACUUCAACACAAAUAGCAACUUACCCAUGUAAAGCUCUAUCUAGUUCCCAUCUACUACAAUUCCCUGAGAAGGUUUUUUUUCCUGUUCUGCAUUUUAACUAUAGAGGGCAUCCCUUGGGUUGAUUUAAAAAAUCCCCAAACUUCUAUGUAACAUAUGGAUGCCCAUUAUAUAUAGACAGUGAACUCCUUGCAUUUAAUACAGAAGCUUUUAUUUUAAAUCAAUACAUUUUUACACCCUUUUUCAAUCUCCCUUCUUCCCUUCUCUCUCUCAUGUCCCGAUAUCUAAGUAGCCAAUACCAGAGUAAAGAAAUUAAUAUUCUAUUCCAUUUGCUCUGUGUUUUCUGCUUUUUACUUGGACACAUUGAGCUGGAUGAACUGUAGUUACUGAAGUUGUUGGAAACUAUCUGAAUAGACAGGAUGUCUGGAAAUAAAAACAAAGAUACUGUA